CGAUGUCUUGUCAGCCUUCUCUACUCGAAAACAUGCGGAUCACUUGUUGGUCAACUCAUUCGGGAGGAAAGUCCCCGGACCUAGGCGAGAAAGUGGCAAGUUAUGAGAUUCACACCCUGACUCUAGUGGAUAUAAAGGCCAUGAAGAACCUUGUGUUCCAGCUUAUCUGCGAGUCAGGCGAUAGUCACAGCACAGUCAAUAGAAGGAGCUGAUGUAAUCAGCCAACUCAACGGGGCUCAUUCGACAAGAACAUU
rnacentral:RNase_MRP_RNA from 1 species